UGUAGGUAUGCAGCAAUGUGGGCAAAUGAAUAAGCAGCGAUAUGGAAGCAUGUGGUAAAGACAUUGGACGUUGGGCUGAAGCUGUGAUGGAUAGCCGUGAGUGCUGGAUCACGUUGGACUUAUGAAAGAGCUGAAGUAUUAUCCAUCUCGAUGGGGGAAAUCAUCUCUAAAAUCCUUCUGAAGCCAACUGCUGCAGAGGUAUUGAAUCCUGAAGGGCCUGCUGCAUCUCCUCACGGAACAGCCAUCCGGCACCCCACGUAUUAAUGCCAAUUAGCCUGGGAAAGAUGAAAACUUUGGGGACUUAAUGAGCUGAGUUGGCACCUGUUCACUCAGCACUCCAGCCUGUGUCUCUUCAGCUGCUCCCACCAACUGGAUGGUGUCAGGUUUGGCCUUUCUGGGGAAAGGCUGACAAAGGCAUUUUUACUCUAGUGUUUUCCAACUUGUCCUUUACUUUUGGGUGGCUGACCUCAAGAUUUUUGGAGCCACACUCUUCAGAAGCCUCGUUUGAGGCCAUACCCAUAUCCCCACCCAUCCCAUACUCUGCCCCAUAAUGCAGAGGGGCUGAGACUAAGGCCUUGUGUGAAUCGGGAAGACAGCGCCUGUGUGACAUCCCAAAGCAGCCUUUCCACUUAGGGGCUGUGUGAUAGGGCCGAGUGUGGUGCGUGGCACUAAGCAGCUCUGUGAGUGUUGGUGGAAGGACAGUCGCCCAGCACACGGCUGUGUCACAGCGUGUCUACUCCACUAGCACACCGUAGUGCCCAUGAUGGCAUGACCGGCACCCUUACCAGUGCCUGUCCAUGGUAGUGCCCAAGUAAUACCUGUUGCAUGAAUGAAUGAACAAAGGAUGAGUCGUGAUUAGGAGCUCUAGCGGGAGAGAGACCUGGAUUGGAAUCCCAUUGCUAGCACUUCUGUACACUAUGAACACAGGCAGUUUGCUUCCAUCUCUCUCCACCCCUGGUCCUUCACUCUUAUUGGAAGGACCAGUGCUUCUCAUGGUUUUGGGCUUACAUGUAAAGUGCUUACUUAGCCCGGUGUCUGGCACAUAGUAAGUAGUUGUUCUUUUAUUAUUGAUGGAGUAACUUUAAAUAA